rnacentral:misc_RNA from 1 species
AAGUCGUAACAAGGUAUCCGUAGGUGAACCUGCGGAUGGAUCAUUACCAAUUUUAUAUACUAGUGUGUAUGCCGCUGUCAAAGGUGGUACUACACUACUACUAUUAUGUAAACGUUGAACUAGAUCAAUUGGUGUGGAUUGCUUGGGAAUGGACGAAGCGACAAGCCUCUUCCGGACAGGCAAACCCCACACUGAUAACCCUUUUCAAUAUAAUUUACUAGUACAUACUACAAACAAACAAACAAAAAAAGCUAUAAUAGGACUUAUAAACAGGCUGAGUGGGUAAAAUCCUCGGCUUAACCAAUAUAACUAUUACAACUUUCAGCAAUGGAUCUCUAGGCUCUC